AACGAACGCUGGCGGCAUGCCUAACACAUGCAAGUCGAACGAGACCUUCGUGUGUGCUUGCUCACGCGUGCGUAACGCGGGGGAAGCUGGCGUUAGGCUCCGAAUACUACCCCUAAGGGGGUGCUAAUGCAGGAAAAUGUCCUCGAAUCCAAGAUACGUCGCCCUGGGGUGGGCAGGCGUUGGUUUAGCUAGUUGGUAUGGUAAAAGCCUACCAAGGCGACGAUCCAUAGCUGGUCUGAGAGGAUGAGCAGCCACACUGGGACUGAGACCCGGCCCAGAAUACUACGGGAGGCAGCAGUGGGGAAUAUUGGACAAUGGGCGGAGGGCUGAUGCAGCUAUGCCGCGUGAGUGAUGAAGGCCUUAGGGUUGUAAAGCUCUUUUAUCCGGGAUGAUAAUGACAGUACCGAGAGAAUAAGCUCCGGCUAACUCCGUG
rnacentral:rRNA from 1 species